rnacentral:rRNA from 1 species
GAUGAACGCUAGCGGCAGGCCUAACACAUGCAAGUCGAGGGGCAUCGCGGUGCAGCAAUGCACUGGCGGCGACCGGCGUACGGGUGCGUAACGCGUAUGUAACCUGCCCCGCACCGGGGGAUAGCCCGCCGAAAGGCGGAUUAAUACCCCAUGGUCCCGGGGGCCCGCAUGGGCAUCCGGGUAAAGCCUUGGCGGUGCGGGAUGGGCAUGCGUGCCAUUAGCUGGCUGGUGGGGUAACGGCCCACCAGGGCAACGAUGGCUAGGGGGUCUGAGAGGAUGGUCCCCCACACUGGUACUGAGACACGGACCAGACUCCUACGGGAGGCAGCAGUGAGGAAUAUUGGUCAAUGGGCGGAAGCCUGAACCAGCCAUGCUGCGUGCGGGAUGAAGGCCCUACGGGUUGUAAACCGCUUUUCCCCGGGAAGAAUAACCCCGAUGAGUCGGGUGAUGCCGGUACCGGGGGAAUAAGGAUCGGCUAACUCCGUGCCAGCAGCCGCGGUAAAACGUCUA